AUGACAUCUGACAAAAUCCAGGCAGAGUGGUCCAGAGCACUGGGAAUGGGAAUAAUACAAAAACAUGAAUGCUGCCAUGACUGCGAUUGACCUCAAAGAGGAAGGACAAAGCCAAAGGGAAAACUUGUGAUAUUACUGAAUUUAUUGAUGAAGUUCUGCACCAAAAUUUAAAAAGAAAAUAACAUAGAGGGGAAAAAAUGGAAGCAAAAGCUCUGUGCAUAAUUGUUUUCAUGUGUCCAAAGAUUUUGGUCCUGAUGAAGACAGGAGAAAUAAUAGACUCAUCAUGACUGUUCGAACAAAAUCUGUCCAUAAGCAGGACUGUUUGAAUGUGGCCAAAAGGAGCAGCACAUCCCAGCCAGAUGCCAUGACUGGUUGCAAACCUCCCUUAGCCUCGAAAGAGGUCCUGGCAUCUGACAGGGCUGAGGACUAGCUCAACCUUGGUAGAAAAGGCUACAGAUAAAGGAGAUGAAUCCCACCCCAAAAGGUGGGAACAGCAGAGUGAAGGUGACACAGAGGGUCACUGGAAAGACCCCUCAGUCUCCAGCUCUGGAGGAUGACUGAGCUGAAAUAACUGUUCCACCAGUGAGAUGAAGAUGUUGGGCCUGUGAACAUGAGGCUCCAUGAGCCUUAGCAUGGGCAGACCUGACCGUCUAUCAGACAAACUUUGAUUUCUUGCAGAAAUGAGUAUGGAAACACACAGACAUAUGGACACUGUGCCCAGGCUGAAAAAGUUGAUCCAGAAUAACACUAAAAGAAUAUCUCUGGGCAGGGAACGCGAUGUUGUCCAGCUGAAUUGUUUCCCAGGGCACAGGCAGUACGGGCAGAGGUCCUCUGUAGAGGCUGAUGACCACAAAGCUGGUUAGCUGAAUCACUGCCCACCUCCUUGUGUGAUGCCCUGCCAGCUUUGAUCUCCAGAGCCGAUAGCCCCCCUGGCUGAGCAGCUGCUCACAGGGAAUUUUCCAAGAGGGCUCUUGUCUCCGUGCUCGUUAGCCCUUCUGAGCUCAUUAGCCCCUCUUGGCCCAAAGCAGCCAAGCCCCAGUGACAUUUACUGCUAGACGGAAGACCCACCCAUUACGUGGCCCGCCUAGUGAAGGAUGAGUUUAAGGAACUCAUGGCAUAAUAUAGCUGUGUGUUGACUUCGGGUAGCCAGCUGGAGUCGUUUGCGGAAUAAUGCUGUGUGUAUUAAUGAUGACUUUGUACUUUGCACAAGAAGCGAGCUAGAGGCAGAUAAAUGGGGGAGUCAGCUAUGACGCCAAAAGAAAAACUCAGGUCCCAACAUCAUUUUUUUCCACAUGAAUAACACCAGAGCAUGUGUUCAGGCAGG